rnacentral:rRNA from 1 species
UUCCGGUUGAUCCUGCCGGACCUGACUGCUAUCGGAUUGAUACUAAGCCAUGCGAGUCUUUGUAGUAAUACAAGGCAGACGGCUCAGUAACACGUAGUCAAUCUACCCUAUGGACGGGGAUAACCUCGGGAAACUGAGAAUAAUACCCGACAGAUCAUUAUACCUGGAAUGGUUUAUGGUUCAAAUGAUUUUUCGCCGUAGGAUGGGACUGCGGUCUAUCAGCUUGUUGGUGAGGUAAUGGCCCACCAAGGCUAUAACAGAUACGGGCUCUGAGAGGAGAAGCCCGGAGAUGGGUACUGAGACACGGACCCAGGCACUAUGGGGCGCAGCAGGCGAGAAAACUUUGCAAUGUGCGAAAGCACGACAAGGUUAAUCCGAGUGUUUUCUGCUAAAGAAAUCUUUUGUUAGUUCUAAAACCACUAUCGAAUAAGGGGUGGGCAAGUUCUGGUGUCAGCCGCCGCGGUAAAACCAGCACCUCAAGUGGUCAGGAUGAUUAUUGGGCCUAAAGCAUCCGUAGCCGGCUAUGUUAGUUUUCGGUUAAAUCCAUGUGCUCAACACAUGGGCUGUCGAGAAUACUGCAUAGCUAGGGAGUGGGAGAGGUAGACGGUACUCGGUAGGAAGGGGUAAAAUCCUUUGAUCUAUCAAUGACCACCAGUGGCGAAGGCGGUCUACCAGAACACGUCCGACGGUGAGGGAUGAAAGCUGGGGGAGCAAACCGGAUUAGAUACCCGGGUAGUCCCAGCUGUAAACUAUGCAAACUCAGUGAUGCAUUGGCUUGUGGCCAGUGCAGUGCCGCAGAGAAGUCGUUAAGUUUGCCGCCUGGGAAGUACGUACGCAAGUAUGAACUUAAAGGAAUUGGCGGGGGAGCACACAAGGGUGAAGCCUGCGGUUCAUUGGAAUCACGCGGAAUCGUCG